UAAGCCUGUGAAGGUGGCCUGUGAGGGUUGCUGGAGGUAUCAGAAGUGCGAAUGCUGACAUAAGUAACGAUAAAGCGGGUGAAAAGCCCGCUCGCCGGAAGACCAAGGGUUCCUGUCCAACGUUAAUCGGGGCAGGGUGAGUCGACCCCUAAGGCGAGGCCGAAAGGCGUAGUCGAUGGGAAACGGGUUAAUAUUCCCGUACUUGGUGUUACUGCGAAGGGGGGACGGAGAAGGCUAUGUUGGCCGGGCGACGGUUGUCCCGGUUUAAGCGUGUAGGUGUGUGUUCCAGGUAAAUCCGGUUCACUUUAACACUGAGGCGUGAUGACGAGGCACUACGGUGCUGAAGCAACAAAUGCCCUGCUUCCAGGAAAAGCCUCUAAGCAUCAGGUAACAUCAAAUCGUACCCCAAACCGACACAGGUGGUCAGGUAGAGAAUACCAAGGCGCUUGAGAGAACUCGGGUGAAGGAACUAGGCAAAAUGGUGCCGUAA
rnacentral:rRNA from 1 species